rnacentral:lncRNA from 1 species
UCAGACACAAAGGAUGUUCCACAAAGAUUCCCAAGGGCAAAACUGAGGACAUCUUUUCACAGCUAAUGGGUGGUGGUCAGGACUCCUGCGUCCCAUUCUUCUACUUCCUGGGUGAGCAUCUCCCUCAUCCACAUCUCCCUAACCCAGCUUAACUCCACCUAACAGCCUAUCCAUCCCAGAAUGGGUGACAAGUCCUUCUUAGCCAUCUGAUAGAAGGGAGACCUGGGUUUUAGUCCAUCCCUCUGUUAAAUAGCUGACCUCAGGUAACUGAUGUUACAGCUGAGGCUCCCACAACACCAUCUGUGGAAUCACGCUCCAGGGGGCUCCAGGUCCCGGCUCCUCCACUUCCAACCAGAGUGAUAAAGACAGGGAACUUGCCACGUGGUGGUUAGGAUAUGGUCUUCAGAGUGAGACAGGCUUGAGGUGGGCUUUGUCGCUUACUAGCUGCCCAACCUCAGGCAGGAUUCUCACUCUCUGAGCCUCAAUUUCUCAUCUAUAAAACGGCUCAGAAAAUUACCUAAAUUGUUGUUGGGAGGAUUCAGUGAAUUAUGUUUAAAAAGAGCUGAGCCUUGUGCCUGGCACAUGAGUGCUCAAUAAAUGUUAAUAGCGCAACAGUUUUCAUUACUAGAACGGGCUUCCAGAUAAGAUUUUACUUGGACUAAGAGUUCCGUGUGUAUAUGUGUGGUGUGUUCACUGGACUAAAGAACCUUUAAACCCCUCCCUAGCUCCAAAUUCUUUCUCAAACAAUAAAGUCCCAUCUAACACCCUUCUAUUCUUCCCUGUUCCCUCACUCAUUUUCUUUCCCUUAAUCUUCUUUUUCCCUCCCAAGAAUUAAGCAGCCUCUCCAGAAUUUCAUCACUUCUUGUUCCCUACUCAAAUUUAACAUCCUCUGGUUUUUAACGCAAAAAUGGAAAGAGUAAGUCCACACAAUCAGAGGUGCGUUAGUGAUUUAUAAAGGCACUCAUCAGGCUGACAUCCCAACUCCUCACCCACUCCAUUCCCAGGGGCCCUCCAGUCCUUUGGACCACAGCAUGAGGAUGCAAAGACCCUCAGCCAAGGCCAGCCAUCCAGGGUGCAUAUGGCUGGAGACUAGAUCGGAGUAAGGCUCAGAGAGGCUGCAUUAGGUGAGACCUAGGAGGUGGAGAGUUCCUUCAGAGAGUCUGGAGAAAAGAGGGGCUGGGGCUGCUCUGCAGGCCCUCUGAAAACUCAAAGCCCUUCCCCUUUCUAUAUACAGUGCCAAGGAAGAAAAGACUUUUGAAAUGAAACAAAUCUACCAAAUGUAAGAAAUACACCAAAAUGCUAGCAGUGGUUGACCUAAUAGGCUUUUUUGGUAAAUGUGGUCAUAUUACUUGUGUAACAAAAUUUAAAUAUUUAAAAUUAAUUAUUCUAAUCAGUUGCACUCAGCCAAGAAAACAGACAAGAACCUAGAAAAAGACUGUUUGGCUCCCACUGAAAUGUAGCAUGCUCCAGUUCUCAAAGCAAGACCAUAGAGGGGGAAAAUAAAACACCUUGAACAUCUGGCUCCCCACCCCGACUCCAGCCCCUGAUGGGCUGGGGCAUCGCCAAGAUCCAGCUUAGAGAAGGGCUGCCAGAUGGCGCCAGGCAUCAAGGGUAGAGGGACGUGAUGAGGAUGACGAUGAAUGAGGACUUCCUGAGGAGGACUUCCGAAAGCCAUCAAGAGGACUGAGGUCCUUACCCAGCAGCUGUGGUGAUGCAGAAUGACCACUCCACGGCAGUCAGGAAACCUGCUUCUAGUUCUUUGCCACUAACUUGCUGAGUGACCUUGGGCAAGUCAGGUCACCUCUCUGGGCCUCAGUUUCCUCAUCUGUAAAAUUAGGGGACUUGGUUAAGUUAAAAAAAUACGUACCAGACCCUUACUCUGUGCACUGUGCUGAAGCUAUAAUACAAAAAAGGAAUAAGAUAGUCAUUUAUUCAAAAAACACUGAGUGAUUGCUCCAUUUACUAGGCAUUGUGGUUACAAAGAUGAGUAAGUCAGCGUCCCUGCCAACAAGGCAUUUUACAACCUGGUCAGGGAAACAGUGAGCAAAGAAGAAAUGGCCAACGCCCCCUUGGGUGCAAAGGUGUGGGAACAGGAAGGA